AGCAGACUUAGCAGUAGACAAUUUUUUUUUUCGUAAAAGCUAUUUCCAGCAAACAGCUUUAAAAACAUGUUUUCUGGAACUCAAAUACUAUGUUUAAUUGUUGGGAAAACACACCAUAAUAUGUCUCCUUUAAUACACAGACACAAAAGCACAGGUGCCCAUACUCUGCAGGCCGCAAACACACACAAGCAUGUGUACACAUGGCACACACUAGUGUGCAGUGUGGAGUUCACCAUUCAGUUUGCGAAUCUUGGAGCUCAUCUUGUUGGAACCAAGCUCCAUCAGGUUCUUCUUAAGAGCCUCAAAGGACACCAUCCAUGCUCUGAUAGAAGAGAACAUCCACCUUCACGACCAGCUGGAGAACCUCACUCAAGCCCUCAGAGAGCUCAAGAGAAUGCUGUGGCACCACUCGAAUGAUGAGAAUCACCAUAACGACCACCAUAGCGACCACCAUAGCGACCCCCAUAGCGAC